AACGCACAUGGCGCCCCCCGGCAAUCUGGGGGGCAUGCCUGUCCGAGCGUCGUUUCAACCCUCGGUGCCCCAGUGGCCCGGCGUUGGGGGCCUGCGCCUCGCCGCAGCCCCCUAAAUCCAGUGGCGGUCCGCCGAGGCCACCCUUGCGUAGUAGCCAAAACCUCGCAUCGGUAACCCGGCGGCCACCGGCCUCUAAACCCCCUACGAAGACCGCCCCGCGCGGCAAGGUUGACCUCGGAUCAGGUAGGAAUACCCGCUGAACUUAA
rnacentral:misc_RNA from 1 species